GAAAAAGGUAGAGGCGCGCCGCAGGAUGAGUACCCGGAUUCGCUACGAUCCGCGAAUCAGGAUUCGGAGAAAGGAAUCGGCGCCGAAGGAAACGCGUUUUUUACGCGGGAUCGCGUUUUCUGGGCGGACGGAAUAAGAGACGUCCGACUGUCGCAGCAAUGCGGAGCGCUAUCGUUAAC
rfam:Anaerolineaceae bacterium oral taxon 439 strain W11661, complete genome.